rnacentral:rRNA from 1 species
UACGUAGGGUGCAAGCGUUGCUCGGAAUCACUGGGCGUAAAGGGUGCGUAGGCGGAUUUCUAAGUCAGGGGUGAAAGCCUGAGGCUCAACCUCAGAACUGCCUUUGAUACUGGAAGUCUUGAGACCGGAAGAGGUAAGUGGAACUGCGAGUGUAGAGGUGAAAUUCGUAGAUAUUCGCAAGAACACCAGUGGCGAAGGCGGCUUACUGGUCCGGUUCUGACGCUGAGGCACGAAAGCGUGGGGAGCAAACAGGG